AAAGGAGAGACAGAAGAGAAGAGUAAUAGGAAAAAAAGCUUAUGCUUUUCAAUCGUCUCUAUAUGAAUUUCCUCCAUAUCUUUCUCUUCCUCUUUCUCUGCAACAUCUCUCGAAUCACCUCCUCCAUAUCCCCAUAAGAGGGCAUCAUUAUGCUUCUGCAUCUAAUUAAUUAUCUGUUUGAUGAUUAUUUUUGAUAUUUAUCCGGUGAAAUAUGUGUUAUGACGUAGCUCUUGAAUUAUGAUGUGAUGAACACUCUUAUAAGUUUUUCAUUUGAAUUUCAAAGUUCAGGACAAUGAUGUUGCUGGUUAUAUUUCAUCAAAAGAUACGGAUCCGUUACAGAGAUUAAUGGAGGAAUAGGGAAAGAAACCGGCGGAGAAGAAAAAAAAUUAUGUCCAAAAACGAUGAAGAGUAAUAGUCUUUCAGUACAUUUUAAAUAUUUUUAAAUAAUUAUGGGUGCGACUGUAUCAGAAAUUAAUUGUGGGCCUGGCGGUAAGAAUUUUUUUCUUUUUUGGACCUGCGCCUAAGUUCCCCUCUUUUAUUUCAUCCAUUACUGUGGUUGUUGAGACUUCAGAAAAAGGGCGUCGGAUGAGAUUACUUGCUCAUAAUGUGGAUGCUAUGCCUAAAGGCUUUAGAUGGUGUGCGAGUUGAUAAUAUUAGUUGAUUUUUGUGCUUUUUGUUGUAGAAGAAAUUAGGAGCCUUGAAGAAGUCAUGUGCAGAUAGUAUCUUGAAUACAACAAGAGCAACAGUUGGUACUUGCUGCCUGCAAUAAGUUACUAUUUUCUCACAGUAUGAUGAAAUUUUUGAUAGGGCUUCGUUCGAAAUCAGGAUUACUUACUACACACUUUGUUGCUUUUCAUGAUCAAGAGUCUUUGAUGGGAAAACGGAGUAACCAAUCCGUAAUGAGAUAGGCAAAUGGCCAGCUUGGGAGUUACUAUCACUGUAGGUGUGAGCAAUUUGGAGGAGAUAGUAAUCAUGAAGUCUCUUAAUAAUCCACAAAUGCGAAGGGAUUGACCCAUCUCUUCUCUUCUCAAAGAAGCCGGCAAAAGAAGCAGGAAUCAACAAAGGGUGGGGGUGGUCUUGAAGAUUGUAAAUUCCCAUUUGCUACUUUACACAUUAUAUCAUGAGAAGUCAAUUUAUUAGCUGAACAACUGCGGACUGCCCCCAUGAGGGGCAUUUCUCACAGUUCACAAUUCUGUUCAUCUUUGGGUAGCAGGAUACGCAACAAUGCUUCAAAGCAAGAAAAAACUUUUAAGGGAUCAUUGUCUCUCCCUUUCUCGAACAUGGGGUUGCUUUUGAAACACUGAAUUUUUAACAGCGGGAAUUGAUAUCCCUAACUGUUGGAAAAUCUAGGAUGUAAGUUGUUGCGAGUCUGCACAAGAAGGUAAUUGCACGAUGCAGAUAGAGUUUUUAUUGGUUCUGUUUUCAGUUGAUGGCGCAAUAUAAAUUUCAUCCCCCAACGGUUCAAACCAGUGCUUGGUGUUGUUAAAAGGAGAUUUUGUGUCUUUGCUUCCACUGGUGUUGCUUCUGGUACUAAGGCCCACAUUUGUGGAGGUGAUAGGUAUUAUUACAUUUGAUCUGUAACUCCAAAUUAAUCCCUGAUUUUGGUGUAGUUCUUGGUGGCGUUGAAAUACUUGCUGAUCAAGGAUAAUAGUCACAGACAAAAGUAAGAAUCUGUCGGAACCGUCUUCUCCUUUGUAUCAAGGACAGUUAUGAUGAAUUAGUAAGUCAGUCUUGGGACAUCGAGGAAAGGGGUUGUUGAUUCUUGAUAUUAAUUCUAAGGGUUCUAUUCACUUGUAUACCUAGGCAAUAAAAUAAUACUAUGUUGCAUCGGUUAUUGUAAUUCUACUUGGAUGACUAAAAAAUCUUGGAAAUCAAAAUUUGUUCUUUCUAGAAGGGGUUAUUUCCACAUAUACCCCUAUAAUCUUUUACUA